rnacentral:rRNA from 1 species
CGGACGGGUGAGUAACGCGUGGGUAACCUGCCUCAUACAGGGGGAUAACAGUUAGAAAUGACUGCUAAUACCGCAUAAGACCACAGCACCGCAUGGUGCAGGGGUAAAAACUCCGAUGGUAUGAGAUGGACCCGCGUCUGAUUAGGUAGUUGGUGGGGUAACGGCCUACCAAGCCGACGAUCAGUAGCCGACCUGAGAGGGUGACCGGCCACAUUGGGACUGAGACACGGCCCAA